rnacentral:rRNA from 1 species
GAUGAACGCUAGCUACAGGCUUAACACAUGCAAGUCGCGGGGCAGCAUUUCCUUAGCUUGCUAAGGAAGAUGGCGACCGGCGCACGGGUGAGUAACGCGUAUCCAACCUUCCCAUGUCCACGGGAUAGCCCGUCGAAAGGCGGAUUAAUACCGUAUGAGGUCACAUGCGGGCAUCUAAGUGUGACGAAAGGUUUUGCGGACAUGGAUGGGGAUGCGUCCGAUUAGCUGGUUGGCGGGGUAACGGCCCACCAAGGCGACGAUCGGUAGGGGUUCUGAGAGGAAGGUCCCCCACAUUGGAACUGAGACACGGUCCAAACUCCUACGGGAGGCAGCAGUGAGGAAUAUUGGUCAAUGGACGUAAGUCUGAACCAGCCAAGUAGCGUGCAGGAUGACGGCCCUAUGGGUUGUAAACUGCUUUUAUGCGGGGAUAAAGUGUGGGACGUGUCCCAUAUUGUAGGUACCGCAUGAAUAGGACCGGCUAAUUCCGUG